CUCCACUUUACACACCAUCCCCAAAGACUCCAAACUGGCAAACAGACAAGACAGAGAGGUAAAGAAAGGCAGAGAGGAGAGAGAGAAGCAAAGCAGGGGGAGAUGGACAGAGAGGUAAAGAAAGGCAGAGAGGAGAGUGAGAAGGAAAGCAGGGGGAGAUGGACAGAGAGGUAAAGAAAGGCAGAGAGGAGAGAGAGAAGGAAAGCAGGGGGAGAUGGACAGAGAGGUAAAGAAAGGCAGAGAGGAGAGAGAGAAGGAAAGCAGGGGGAGAUGGACAGAGAGGUAAAGAAAGGCAGAGAGGAGAGAGAGAAGCAAAGCAGGGGGAGAUGGACAGAGAGGUAAAGAAAGGCAGAGAGGAGAGAGAGAAGCAAAGCAGGGGGAGAUGGACAGAGAGGUAAAGAAAGGCAGAGAGGAGAGAGAGAAGGAAAGCAGGGGGAGAUGGACAGAGAGGUAAAGAAAGGCAGAGAGGAGAGAGAGAAGGAAAGCAGGGGGAGAUGGACAGAGAGGUAAAGAAAGGCAGAGAGGAGAGAGAGAAGCAAAGCAGGGGGAGAUGGACAGAGAGGUAAAGAAAGGCAGAGAGGAGAGAGAGAAGGAAAGCAGGGGGAGAUGGACAGAGAGGUAAAGAAAGGCAGAGAGGAGAGAGAGAAGGAAAGCAGGGGGAGAUGGACAGAGAGGUAAAGAAAGGCAGAGAGGAGAGAGAGAAGGAAAGCAGGGGGAGAUGGACAGAGAGGUAAAGAAAGGCAGAGAGGAGAGAGAGAAGGAAAGCAGGGGGAGAUGGACAGAGAGGUAAAGAAAGGCAGAGAGGAGAGAGAGAAGGAAAGCAGGGGGAGAUGGACAGCGAGGGAGCUGCUGUUUGAAGUCUAUGCUAGCGCCAUGGAAACAAAGAGCUGUGAUUGUAAAUGAGCUAAUUAAGUAAACCACUAACGAAGCGUGGAAACAAUUUGCUUGACCCUUCAGAGCAGAGAACUCUGGGAGCACAACACUAAUCAGCUCGAGACGGGAGGGACCAGUGACAGACAGGUAACACACACACACACACACACACACACACACACACACACACACACACACACACACACACACACACACACACACACACACACACACACACACACACACACACACACACACACUGAAUGACUUAUGCUAUCUUAUAAGGCGUAACCUCGGUUUCUUUGAUACCUUAUCAGCACCGUGUCACAGGUUCUCUCACUACACACCACGUAAAGAGAGAGAGGGAUUGAAGUGAGGGAUAAAGGGAUGAGAGAAGGCUGACAGAGAGAGAGAGAGAGAGAGAGAGAGCUGUUAAAUAAUGUAGACGGACACACAAUAACAAAACGCUCUGCUCUACCAAGGGAGCCUGAUGUAACCGAUAGCAACUGAUUCAUUAUUGAUGGAAGGCUGUAGAAAGCUACAAUGACUGACUGACACUCAGCACUGGCUAGUCGCUGCGUUCGCUGGUAGUGUGUGUCUGGGCUGACUGAAAUAGUAGUACUCACUGUAGAGUCCUACACUAGUCACUAGAAAGUCAUGCUAGGAAGAGUGAAAGUGACAAUCCAUCAGCAAUAGGGGUCCCGUCCAUUCUUUGUAGCAUGGGCUGACUGACACACAGUGGCUGUGUGGAGGAGAGUCGUUGAUGAAUGCAGCUUCAGGGUGUU